UAUUUGAGUAUUUUGAUCUUUGGUUAUAAACACCAAGCGAUUUUAUUCAAUGAUUUGAGUUUGCAGGUGGUCCAACGAACUUUGUGUGAGUCACAGGCGUGCAAAAAAACUAUAUAUACCCGGCAGUCAGAACUUCUUUUUCUUUUUCGACCGAUAUGUCCAUUUGAACCUGCUCUCUGUGUAUGAAUACCAAUGGAUUUCCGAACUGCAUUGAAUUCACACUGCCUCGGCAUGGAAGCACAUAACAGACCAUAAUUUGAUGAAACUCCGCUACAGGUUGCAUGACAAUCUUGAUACCAAGACCCACUGAGUGACGGCAGAUCUACUAAUCUACUGUAUUCUAAGAAUUGAAUGAAUUAUUCCCUGGAAAUUUCUAUGAUAAUUUCAGACUGCCAGGUAUCUGGCUUUUUGAAAACAUGUCCCGGUUGACGGAUAAAAACAAAUAGAAGAAUGAGGAUGCUUUUUAACACAAAGAGUUACACUUAGAUAUUUACUAUUCAAGUUGCUUCAUUGAGCAUCCUCUUUAUCCAAAGGCAUAUUGUUUGCCUCAUCUUUCAAGUUCUACUUACGACGAUUCUUUGAUUGUUCAAUAUCCGCAUUGUUCGUCUCAGCAUCAUGAUUUGUUUUUUGUCUGUGUUUUCAUAGUUUGAACUCAUGAAUGGCUGUCCUUUGUUAUCUGCGUGAGAAUGAGCAUGAACUUUGCCUAUCCGGCAGACUUUCAACCAGUAUAAUUCUUGGGCCAACCCAUUCCGAAAAUGAUCAUCAUCUUCUUAGAGUCUUUCCCAAACUUUCUUCAUAAAACACAACAUUCUGUAUAUCACAUUGUUUUUCACGAGGAGCAAAAGUUGUCGUAUUCUCAUCCCCAGUUUCCUCGCACUACACUAGGAACACCUGGGACCAUGACCCCCCAUUUGGUGACCAAAUAUGAUGACGACCAUGAACGGCAUGCAUUUUUUGACUCGGGCUUUCCUACAGAAGCCCAAGUAAUUAAAUUGAAUUUCUGUUGUAAUUUCAGGUUUAAAGGACUUGGAAGCAAGAUACAAUGUUGUUAGCAUUCUCUCAUUGUAUCUAAGAGUUGUUCUGUGGCUAAUUGGACAAGGAUUGUUGCCUGAACAGUCAGAGGGCUCAAUGGCAGCAGCUAAAAGAGGACAUUGUUACCCAGCUUUGACUCUCAGUAAUGCUUGUGAAAGUAGACGCAAGGACUUGGAAAAUCUCUGCAGAAAGUAUGUACAUGUAUCAGUAAUCUUUUGGAUCCCUCUGUACAGUGAAUUAUGGAAGAGUUGAUAUUUUUGUGGUUUUCAUUUUAACUUUCCUUGUCAUCUAGUUAUCAAGAAUGGGAAAUAUACUUGCCUUGACUGUUUUAUGUACAUU